ACGAUCUAACUUGAAAAGGACCUGUUCUAUAUGUUGUACAUCCGUUUCCAUUGAUACAAUGGAGACACGCACAACAAUCUGGCAGAUGACACAUUGCUACGUGUUCGGAGUGUGAGUACUGGAUGUGGGGCCCACGGGCACCCAUCGUCUAUUGAGGAUCACUCUCAUCAAGCCAACGGCUGAUGGGAUGGCCACGUGGCAGUCUGACAGAUC
rnacentral:snoRNA from 1 species